GAUGAACGCUGGCGGCGUGCCUAAUACAUGCAAGUCGAGCGAACAGACGAGGAGCUUGCUCCUCUGACGUUAGCGGCGGACGGGUGAGUAACACGUGGAUAACCUACCUAUAAGACUGGGAUAACUUCGGGAAACCGGAGCUAAUACCGGAUAACAUGUUGAACCGCAUGGUUCAACAGUGAAAGACGGUUUUGCUGUCACUUAUAGAUGGAUCCGCGUCGCAUUAGCUAGUUGGUAAGGUAACGGCUUACCAAGGCAACGAUGCGUAGCCGGCCUGAGAGGGUGACCGGCCACACUGGGACUGAGACACGGCCCAGACUCCUACGGGAGGCAGCAGUGGGGAAUAUUGCACAAUGGGCGAAAGCCUGAUGCAGCAACGCCGCGUGAGGGACGACGGCCUUCGGGUUGUAAACCUCUUUUAGCAGGGAAGAAGCGAAAGUGACGGUACCUGCAGAAAAAGCGCCGGCUAACUACGUG
rnacentral:rRNA from 1 species